rnacentral:rRNA from 1 species
AUACGUAGGGGGCAAGCGUUGUCCGGAAUGAUUGGGCGUAAAGGGCGCGUAGGCGGCCUUUUAAGUCCGAUGUGAAAGUCCUGCUUUUAAGGUGGGAAUCGCAUUGGAAACUGGAAGGCUUGAGUGCAGGAGAGGUAAGUGGAAUUCCCGGUGUAGCGGUGAAAUGCGUAGAGAUCGGGAGGAACACCAGUGGCGAAGGCGACUUACUGGACUGUAACUGACGCUGAGGCGCGAAAGUGUGGGGAGCAAACAGGAUUAGAUACCCUGGUAGUCCACACUGUAAACGAUGAGUGCUAGGUGUAGGAGGUAUCGACCCCUUCUGUGCCGGAGUCAACACAAUAAGCACUCCGCCUGGGGAGUACGGCCGCAAGGUUGAA